rfam:Schistosoma mansoni strain Puerto Rico chromosome 2, complete genome
AUCCAGCUGACGAGUCCUAAAUAGGCCGAAAUGCGCAUCCUGGAU